rnacentral:lncRNA from 1 species
ACAGCAGGUAAUUACAUAUGUAUUGUCUCUAUAUAAACAGCAGGUAAACACAUGUAUUGUCUCUAUAUAUACAGCAGGUAAUUACACAUGUAUUGUCUAUAUAUACAGCAGGUAAUUACACAUGUAUUGUCUAUAUAACAGCAGGUAAUUACACAUGAUUGUCUCUAUAUAUACAGCAGGUAAUUACACAGGUAUUGUCUCUAUAUAUACAGCAGGUAAUUACACAUUGUCUCUAUAUAUACAGCAGGUAAUUACACACGUAUUGUCUCUAUAUAUACAGCAGGUAAUUACACACGUAUUGUCUCUGUAUAUACAGCAGGUAAUUACACAUGUAUUGUCUCUAUAUAUACAGCAGGUAAUUACACACGUAUUGUCUCUAUAUAAAAGUAGUAUACACAUGUAUUGUCUCUAUAUAUACAGAGGUAAUUACACAUGUAUUGUCUUAUAUAUACAGCAGGUAAUUACACAUGUAUUGUCUCUAUAUAUACAGCAGGUAAUUACACAUUGUCUCUAUAUAUACAGCAGGUAAUUACACAUGUAUUGUCUCUAUAUAUACAGCAGGUAAUUACACAUGUAUUGUCUCUGUAUAUCCAGCAGGUAAUUACACAUUGUCUCUAUAUAACAGCAGUAAUUACACAUGUAUUGUCUCUAUAUAUACAGCAGUAAUUACACAUG